GAUGAACGCUAGCUACAGGCUUAACACAUGCGAGUCGAGGGGCAGCAUUAGGUAGCAAUACUGAGAUGGCGACCGGCGCACGGGUGCGUAACGCGUAUCCAACCUUCCCGUUACUCAUGGAUAGCCUUCCGAAAGGGAGAUUAAUACAUGAUGGUGUUGAAAUUCCGCAUGUUAUUUCAACUAAAGAUUUAUCGGUAACGGAUGGGGAUGCGGGACAUUAGAUAGUAGGCGGGGUGACGGCCCACCUAGUCUACGAUGUCUAGGGGGUCUGAGAGGAAGGUCCCCCACACUGGAACUGAGACACAGUCCAGACUCCUACGGGAGGCAGCAGUGAGGAAUAUUGGUCAAUGGCCGGAAGGCUGAACCAGCCAAGUAGCGUGAAGGAUGAAGGUUCUAUGGAUUGUAAACUUCUUUUAUACGGGAAUAAAACCUCCCACGUGUGGGAGCUUGUAUGUACCGUAUGAAUAAGCAUCGGCUAACUCCGUGCCAGCAGCCGCAGUAAAAC
rnacentral:rRNA from 1 species